CUGUGAUGUGCAGAAAACAAAAUAAAAAUGGAAUAUUUUAAAAUAAUAUUAAGAAAUAUGCAAUUAUAGUAAAAAAGAUCACGGCACUGCGUGCAGAUAGAAGACUCUUUAAGAAUGCUUGCCGGUAAUGCCAAAUACUGUGCAAAACUCAAUAGCUAAGGCAGAAGCUCUUAGAACAAAGAUCACUGUUACACUUCAAUCAUCCAAAAGAAGUGCCACAAUUAUCUACAAUUCUUUGUCCAAAGUGGAUCUAUAGCAUCAUAUGUGUAUAUCUGCCAAAACCAUUUCCACUUUGCUGCUAGCCCAUUGGCAGGAUGACAAGCCAAUCUUCCAGCGCUGCUUGUAAAUAGAGAGCUAUGUGUAAAGAGCAACCGCAAGCAUAUUGGAGCAAAAUCAACAGGAGCAUAUCAUUAGUUUCAUUCAUAAUGAAGGUUCCCGUUUUAGAACUUGCUUAAAUUAUCUUCACAAAGCAGCAGUUGGAGCAAUAUUGAUGACCUGAUAUAUUUCUGAGCUGUAAACAGUUGAUGCAUAUGUACUUUGCCAGCUUGGCCUUUUAAUCCCUUGAAAAUUAAAAUGUUAAAAUAAGCUGAUGGAAGGAACAAAAACUACUUAGACGGACUAUCUCUGUAUAAAUAAUUUUGCAUUCAGCUUUGUUUUAUUUUACACAAAUUGAUGAUCAGCACAAUGCAUCACAUCCUCCUCCAGACGGAUAAUCAACACAAUGCAUCAAAUCUCGCUCAGGGCUAUUUCAGCAAAAGGAGCGAUCUGUGUACAAAGGAUUAGAGCUGUGUGAAUUACCAGGUUUUGGGAAAUUGAGCUUGUUUAAUGAAUUGGGUGUAUGCAUCAAAAAGGAAAGCCAGAAGAAAGUCCUAGGUGUCUUGCAAUAAUUGGACUGCAUACAAGUGAGAUGCAUCUAAGAUGACAAAAGGAAUGGCCAACAUGUAGAAGUAUGGUUAUCUGGCAUAUUAAUGAACACAUUUCACGCUAAAGUGAAAAGAAUAAUCUAUUCAGUAUCUCUAUCCUAGAGCUCACAUUUUGUAAACUAAACAUACUUCUAGACAAGACCCAAAAAUAAAUCUUUGGUUAUAUUUUUCUCCUUGUUCCCCUCCCUCAGCAUAUAGAGCAAUUUGUUCAAAAAUACGUAAUCUAAUACUGUUAUAAUAAAGCGCUACAAACUAAAAACUACAAUUAUCACUUGGAAGUUUUUGGAACACGACUAAUUCGGUCAAAAAAGGUAGUUUAAAAUGCAGGUUUUACUGCACUAUUACAACCAUUAUUUUUUGGUUGGUAAUUAUAUAUAUU